AAGAGGGGAGGUUUAACCCCUUGUCCUCACUCCGCUUCUCAGAGGCGGCUCUCAAGCUCGGCUCCUCGGUGUCUCCCUGUUCAUUUGUGACCGGGCGUCCCAGCUGCCCGGAGGCAUGAAGACGCCUCAGACAAACUCGCUCUGUUGGCUUGUUCUGGGACCUCUGGCCUUGCUUCAUUGCCACGGCGGCACCGGUUGGCACAAUUGUUCUCUUGUUUCAAGACUAGGAUAUUCUUUCAAGAAAAUACUUGCAUAUUUACUUACGUAUGACCUCAGUGUUUGCGUGCUUGUCAGUCGUUGAGUAUAUUUAAUAACCUAGGUCUGAAAUGGUCAUUUUAAAAGUCCCUAUUAAACCAUCGCUUGCCUCUAGUGGCAGUUGGACUCCCUUUUUGCUCCUCUGCAUGCCCCACGCAGCCUGAGCUUGAGCAGAUCCUGAACCUCCACCUCUGGAAGUUGCCAGUGUGUCUGGAAACCUGAGGUAGGGUGCAUUUCACUUUGGAUUACGUGUAUCUGGAGCCGACUUAGCUGGCUGGGCUGCCUUUAUAGUUGGUAGAGAACUAGUCACUGCAGUGCCAUUUGGGAUGCGAUUCAUCUGAUCAAAUAUGGGUAGUUUAAGGUAGGACAUGUCACACUCUUAAACUUACCUAUAUUUAUUAGUUUUAGAGGUACUAUAAGGACACUCAAGGGAGCCAUGGUUAACGAGUAGGCACCUAGAUUGUAUAUCCAGUUUUUCAGGUGAUUCCCACCUAAAAUGUCCCAGGCCCCUAUAGGAGCCAAUCCAUCAGGUAAGCUCUGAACAGGAUAUAAAUGCAUUGAGCACCGUACAAAAGUAAGUCCUAGAAAUGUUCUUUUUAACAGCAGUACAGUAAUCCUAAGCAUCUUUUAUAGAAAAAUGCUUGGCCAUUAGAGGAGAGAGUCCUUUAAGCCGCACAGUGUACGCUGGAUGGAAUAGUAAAUGCACUCUACUCUUUCUACUGAAGCCGGACCACUAUGCAGAAAUGAAGGAAGGAAGGAAGGAAGAAUGAUUUCAGUUAUUUUAUAAUUAUUGGUCUUGGGAUCACUAUUGAUGCUCUUGCCAGAAAAGGUAGAAAUGUGCUAAUUAAAAUUACUGAUGACAGAAAGUUGGGAGACAUCAAUAAAGAGGAUGUUCACAGGAACACAGAGGAAAAAUUGAGUGCUCUUGAGGACUGAGAUAGUAAAAAUGGAAGGAAAUGCAUGAGUAAAACAGGAGUAUAUUUUCUGAUUAAUAUACAGGGAAGGGGUGGCAUAAAUACUGGAAAGAGAAAAUGAAAGGGAAAAUGGAGCUUCAUAAAUUUUUAUUAUAUGGUAUUUAGCAGUAGCAGGGAAUUGCGCUAAAUGACCCUUCCAAGCAUUUGAUCCCAAUUAUGAAUCAUUUCUUCUUUGUCUCAGCCUUCAUCUAAAGAUGUCAAAGUGCUCUAGCCUCUAAGCAAACUUGUGAAGAAGACAGCUAUCCUCAUUUUUUGUACUGGAAAGCUGAGACAGUAUUUGAGUUGCCAAAUUCACACAUUAUUCACUUGAUGAACAGGCCUAAAAGCAAAUAGCUCCUCUCCAGGGCUACAUCCUACACAUACAAGAUAGUAGCAAUACCUACUUUCUGUCUUGUGUAGUAUAUCCUAUUGAUUUUAUAUACAGGUUUAAUAAACAUUCUUCAGGUAUCUUUUCAAAUGUCCUUGCUUUAAUAAAUAAUUACUAUUCCUGUGUGUUUAUAACUGUCCUCUUCAGGUUCCCUGGGCAACAUCAGUGUAACCAAUUCUCUUCAUUUUAGAGGUGAAAAAACUAAUAAGAGACAUGGGUAAUUUAUGGAGGAGACAGAGUAAUGCUACAGCAAUGGUAGAACUGUGAAUCUGAUUCUUAUAUUUUUGCUCAAUCUUUUAAUAGCUACACUUGUUCAUACAGAAAAGAAGUGUGCUGUCUGUAGUCUGUGGGAAUGUACCCAUUGGUUUUAAUGGGAUAAAGGUAAACCCAAAAUGAUAAAUCAAAUCGAUGGUUUGUAGCAAUUCCUGAGAAGUGUCUGUUUCAGGUCCUGGUGACAAAUUUUUUUGUUGAUUUCUUGUUACUUUCUUUCAUCAGCAAGAUACUUGUAAGAACUUUCAUCAGCAAGAUACUUGUUGCCUUCAGCAACAGACUGAUUUUGAUAAAACACUUGCAAGGAAAUCUUUCUUAUAUUACAGAAAGCAGUUUGGUUUUAGUCAAAUGUAAAGGAAGUUCCAUAAAAGCUGAUGAUUCAAGCUCUCAGCUGGGAGAGGGGAGCUGUGUUGCUGUCCGAUGGAAUGUUACAUGAUUAUCCAAAAUGAUGGCUUUAGCAGAAACUCAUGAGACUCAAGUAGGAUGAGAGUCAUGGCUUCUGUAUGGACUAUAAGGCAUCCAGAUUAAAAUCUCUGCCAUUCCCGUGCCCCUCCCCCCCUUCCCCCAACUUCAGGGCCCCAUGCAAACUAAUUGCCUCUGAGAAAGAUACUUCUAGAAGUUCAUACAUCCUACCUAUUGAGAAUACCAUGAAUCGCUCUCUGAUUACCCCUAUUUUUCUCAACUGUCUAAGGGAGAACCUAGGUAAUUAGCCUAAAUCUUUACAUCACUGAACUUUUAUAAGUUGUGAUUCGCACCUUUGUCUUCUAAGAUUCUUGUUUUCUUCUGAUUCUUGAGAACUUGUGCAGAAAAGUUAAAGUUAAAAAAGUUAAAGUUUUCUUGCCAUGUCUGUCUACACAGAAGUUGUUGGUAAGUGGAAAAAAGACUAUCCCCUAUAAUUUAUUACCAGAUGAUUAAUAUUGAGGUAAGACAUUCAGUUUAUUACUAAUGGUAUUAUUUGCCUAGUCCAUGCCAUUAUCUCAUUUAAUUUACAGUGAUUAUUAAACCUGUGCUGCAUUGGUAUAGACAAAAAGGUAGGAGACUUCAUUAUAGUGUAGCAUGUAUUGUCUUUCCUUUUAUUAAGUGAUGGAGCUGGGGGAAAUGGCUCUAAUGAGAGCUAGUUCUUUCCAGCAUUUUGGAGAACAGCUUCAGUCUGGCAUCUUCAGCUUUUCUGCAGGAUGGUAAAUAUUUAUUAAAGCAACCAAAGUGAUCAGGCUUAUUAGAGACAGGUAGCUCUGAACUGUGGGGCUGUUUCAAGCUGUGACAAUGAAAUGCAGAGGGAUUUGGGAAAAAAGGAGAAAAUGGCAAGAUGUUAAGUAUUUCACAAUAUACACAGUAACAUUCUUCAUUGUAAGAGGAAAUGUGUAAAUGUCUUUUUUUUUUUUUUUUUAAUCAUCUAAAUCAACCUGAAAUGAAGAAGUCUUCAAGUGCAUUCGUAAGGAGUCUACGUAGUACUCUGACCUUGGUAAGGAAAUUAAUAUAGCAGAUAAGUAGAUAGAAAUAAAAUGACAAUGCCUGUCAUAUCAGAGUUACAAUCUGCUGCAAACCUGAUGGUGCAAGUUUUUCUGAUGUGAGAGUUUUCAUAUUUAGUUUGUAGGGUCAGCAGCAUGGGUUACCUUGAGGGACCAGGUCCUACCUACAUUUAACAGUGAAUAAUGCCACACAGAUGGAGGAUGCAUGUUACAGCAGUUAGAGCCCCAGUGGUACAUGCAGCCUCAUGGCUAGAAUUACAGACUUGAACAAUUAAGGGCACCAAAAUGUAAAUAAUCUUGAUAUGCACAUCUCUGCUGCUCUCUGGAUUUAAAAAAAAAAAGAAAGACAAACCAUUAUAUUAGCAUUUCUGUGCAGCACCUAGAGUAGAAAUGGAAUGGAAAGUCACAAAUGGAGGUUUUUCUAAUUUAUUAAAAAACAAAACAAACCACAAAUUCUUAAGAAAAGCUCCAAGACAAAUUGGCAAAAUUGCGCAAGAUCAGGAAGAAAUUUUCAGGUGGAAAAAACUACCUACCAGCUGGGAGACCCACUUGAUGAGUUGCUGUUAUUAACUAAGACCUCCAAAGCAAAUGUUAAUGUGUUAAUUAGAAGCAGGGUAAUAACCUCCCAGAUUUCCCAGUGGGAAACAAAAAAACCAAACCAAACCAAAAACAAGACUAUUUUUUUCUGGCUAUAACUGGUUAAAACCAAACAUGUCAGCAAGGGACCCCCACCCCCCACCCCCAAUACUGCUUCUUCAUUUUCUGAAGCGUUUGCAGCAUUGCUGCCCUAUUGGUAAUGUAGACCACCUUACCUGGCAUUUCAGCAUGGUAACUAGAUAGAAGCACGGAAUCCAGAAGUUUAUUUAUCUUUCCAGAAAAUCAAAUAAAAUCUCUAUCCUGACUGGUAGCUUUGAUUUCUAGAAAGAAAGAAAAAGUCCCGCAUUGGCUUAGACUGGUUCCAAGUAAGAAAAAAGUAAGAAAAGGAAAUUAAAAGGGAAGAGGAGAGAUUCAUUCUCUGUCUGUCCUGUCAGUAUAAAAACACAAGAGUCUGAAUGAGCUCUCACACGGAGCCCUACUCAUUUUAUUUUGGCUUCCGUGAUAGAAAUCAACUUUUUUUUUUUUUUUUUUUUUUUUUUUUUUGCUAACCAACCUUCAGAAGAACUUGUAGCCAAGCAAAAUCAAACCAUAUGUUUUAAAAUUGCAUUCUGUUGAGACCAAACAGCAUAAAGGGAUGUAGCUCUUACGGACAUUUAGGAAACACUUGAAUUCUUUGACUUACCUUCUGCAGUUUUUUACCAUUUGGAUGCCUUGAGCUGUGUUGCAUGCUUUUCUCAGAAAGGCUCAAGAGAGAUGGAGGGUAUUCAGGCGUAUGCAUUAUCCGUGGGGCUAGCUUGUGGGAAAGCCAGGACUGGAGCCACAGUACUUACAUUCCAGGAGCGCAUUUGAUGACUUUCCCAGUAAAGACACAGCCUUUCUUAUCUCUCAGCUCUGAGCCAGCCCACGAUCCUUAUAUUUUCAUUUAGUAUUCAUAAGAAUUGAAAAAACUCCUUUUUUUUUUUUUAUUAUUUUGUCUUUACACAGUUCUGGUUCUUUGUGAUUAAUCAGAUCAACUCAGCUUUUUGCAGAAACUGUGACAGUACCGUCAUCACUCUGUUCUCUCUCAAAUUCCUCCCAAAAUCCCUUCAGCUGCUUUGGUGGAAGGAAUUCUGAAGAGACAAUGCCACCUUGGAAUCUGUCCCAGAAUCUUGAAGACUUUGAUACUACUUUGAUUUGGAAUUUAGGAGUGGCAUACAGGACUGGUAGUUGUUCCAUAUGCCUUUCCAGUGAGUUACAGGGUUCUUCUUAUUUUCCCUGAAGUUGUGGCCCUGGAAAUUUACUCUUUCUCUCCUCUCUAACAAAAGAAUAGAGAUGAGGGGCUCUAAUUGCUCCAUUGGACCAAGUGUCAUUGGCUUUCAUAACUGUGUAGGAUGUGGUGAAGAGGACAUGUUCUAGCAGUGACUUGUGGGGUGGGGUGAGUCUUCCUAUCCUGUAUCCUGUUGCAGAGGCAAUCCUCUUGCAUUACAUUUUCCUCUUGUUAAAAAAAGUUACUUUAAGUUAUAGGCCAAGAUACUGCUGACCUGUAUGAAUUCAUUUUACAAUGGCUGUGUAGAGAGUCCCUGCUGUCUACAUGAAGUCAUUACUUGGGAACCACUGAAUGAGUUACCUCAUAAAAUUAAGUCAGCCAGCAGAA